rnacentral:miRNA from 1 species
UGUGUGUGUGUGUAUGUGUGUGUGUUUGUAUAUAUAUAUAUAUAUAUAUAUACAAACACACACACACACACACACAUACA